rnacentral:lncRNA from 1 species
AGAAAAUGGAGGGGUUGCCGCUGCCACACAGCAAUUACCAUGCAGAAAAAGGAGUUGAGAAGGGAGUAGCCUCUGAUAUGUAGUCAGCAUGAAUCAGCCUUAGGUUCCCUGCCUCCAUACCCAAUUCUUCUGCCUCAUUAUGAUUCCACUAUGAGGCAUCCAGAGUAGUCAAACUUAUAAAGACAGAAAGUAGAGCUGUGGCUGCCAGGUGGGUGGAAGGAGAGAGAAGUAGUUAUUGCUUAAUGAGUAGGAAAUUUCAGUUUGGGAAGACGAAAAAUGUUCUGAAGAUGGAUGGUGGUGAUGGUCGUGCAACAAUGUGAAUGUACUUGAUGCCACAUAAAAAGUGGCUAACAUGUGCCAGGGCUGAGAAACUCAGCUGUGGGGAAAGCCAGCUGCCCUAAAAUCAUUACGUUAUGAGGAAAUCCAUGCUUACUGUGUGCACAGACCACAUGGAAGGAGAGAAAACACCUGAACAGCUCCAACUGUGGCAGCCAUACCAGCCCAGAUGCCAGACAGUGAAUGAAGACGGGCAUCCCAUUCCCAGUAGAAAUGACGUGAAGAACCGAAAAAAACUCACCGACAGCCCUAGAUAUACACCUCCAGGUGACCAACCCAGACACCACCAACAGUUAGCGCUACUCCAGCUGAAUACUCCCCAACAAAAAUCUAUCCUUGCUAUGUGUUGCCUGAAUUCAUGACCAACAACGGUAUGAACAUAAUAAAAUGAUUGUUAUUUUAUGCC